UCUCCUGGAAACGGGUGGUAAUGCCGGAUGCUCCGCCCCCUCGCAUGGGGGGUCGGGAAGGCUUUUGCGGAAUGGGAUGGGGUCGCGUCCUAUCAGCUUGUUGGCGGGGCGACGGCCCACCAAGGCUUCGACGGGUAGCCGGCCUGAGAGGGCGACCGGCCACAUUGGGACUGAGAUACGGCCCAGACUCCUAUGGGAGGCAGCAGUGGGGAAUAUUGCACAAUGGGGGGAACCCUGAUGCAGCGACGCCGCGUGCGGGAUGGAGGCCUUCGGGUCGUGAACCGCUUUUGAUUGGGAGCAAGCGUGAGUGAGUGUACCUUUCGAAUAAGCACCGGCUAACUACGUGCCAGCAGCCGCGGUAAUACGUAGGGGGCAAGCGUUGUCCGGAAUCAUUGGGCGUAAAGGGCUCGUAGGCGGUUCGUCCGCGUCCGGGUGUGAAAGCCCAUCGCUUACGGUGGGUCUGCCGCCGGAUAACGGGGCGGGCUUGAGUUGCGGCAGGGGAGGCUGGAAUUCCCGGUGGAACGGUUGGAUGGUGUAAAAUAUCGGGGAAGAAAACCA
rnacentral:rRNA from 1 species